GACCAAGAAAGCCUUAAGCAUGAAAAAGAAGUUCCUCAAGUAAAAACAGCCAAGCCUAAAGAAACUAAAAAACCAUCAGUUGAAAUCACAGUAGCAGG